GUCGAACGGGAAGCUUUUGAUGAAGUUUCGGCAGAUUUAGCUGGUUUCUAGUGGCGGACGGGUGAGUAACGCGUGGGUAACCUGCCUUAUACAGGGGGAUAACAGUCAGAAAUGACUGCUAAUACCGCAUAAGCGCACAGGACCGCAUGGUCCGGUGUGAAAAACUCCGGUGGUAUAAGAUGGACCCGCGUUGGAUUAGCUUGUUGGUGGGGCAACGGCUCACCAAGGCGACGAUCCAUAGCCGGCCUGAGAGGGUGAACGGCCACAUUGGGACUGAGACACGGCCCAGACUCCUACGGGAGGCAGCAGUGGGGAAUAUUGCACAAUGGGGGAAACCCUGAUGCAGCGACGCCGCGUGAAGGAAGAAGUAUCUCGGUAUGUAAACUUCUAACAGCAGGGAAGAUAGUGACGGUACCUGACUAAGAAGCCCCGGCUAACUACGUGCCAGCAGCCGCGGUAAUACGUAGGGGGCAAGCGUUAUCCGGAUUUACUGGGUGUAAAGGGAGCGUAGACGGACUGGCAAGUCUGAUGUGAAAGGCGGGGGCUCAACCCCUGGACUGCAUUGGAAACUGUUAGUCUUGAGUGCCGGAGAGGUAAGCGGAAUUCCUAGUGUAGCGGUGAAAUGCGUAGAUAUUAGGAGGAACACCAGUGGCGAAGGCGGCUUACUGGACGGUAACUGACGUUGAGGCUCGAAA
rnacentral:rRNA from 1 species